rnacentral:lncRNA from 1 species
CUGGAAAUCAAUCCAUUUUUAAACCUGAUGACAUCAUCAUGACGAUGAUCAGCACAUGAGGUACAUAUUUUUCAACUACUUUUAGGUGAUAAUUUCACCUAUUUUUAGCACACGCAAAACCCACGGAACUUUAGUAUAACCCAUGAACUUACUUAAGUAUAGAUUUGGUGUGAUCCCUUCCUAAACCUCCCCAGUAAAGAGCAGAGGUGUAGCUUACUACUCUAUCUCUGUCCACCUCUCAGCACUGCGGUACCUGUGACAAAUGUCCCUGUGAGGAAGGGGACACGUCAGCACACUGCAAUCACUGCGAAGUAGGUUUUCUUCUUCUUAAUAUGAUCAAAAUUCAUAUUAAUAAAGGCCAAAUGUAUGUGGACACCUGAACACUACACCUCAUUUAACAACAACAAAAACAAACAUCUAUGCACGUUAUGCAUCAUCUACCCUCUUAUCUUCUUCCACAGGAUUGUUCCUACUGUUACGUUUGUCCUGUGAUCUGUGAAACAGUCUGCCAGCCAGGUGGAAUUCUUGAUGUACUGAGCGGUUCUCUCUACCAGACGGUGAACACGUUGCUCUGAAAACGUUCAGCAUUCUUCACAGAGGAACUACAGACUAGCGUUCAAAUCAUUCAUUUGUAGGCCUGUCUAUUUGACUGGCAAGAUCCGGGGAUUCUCACUCUGAGGCCAGCAAAGAGAGUGGACAACAGAUCUUAAAUAUAAGCAAGGAACUGCCAGGACCCUAAUGUUUACCAUUUAAUGGCAUUUUAAAGGUGACUUUACAGGCUGCAUUAAAUGAAUAACAAAUAUGGUUACGUGC